rnacentral:rRNA from 1 species
AGAGUUUGAUCAUGGCUCAGGACGAACGCUGGCGGCGUGCUUAACACAUGCAAGUCGAGCGAUGAAACACCUUCGGGUGUGAAUUAGCGGCGAACGGGUGAGGAACACGUGAAGAAUCUGCCUUCAACUCUGGGAUAACUCCGGGAAACCGGGGCUAAUACCGGAUAUGAGCCUCGAUCGCAUGAUUGGGGCUGGAAAGUUUUUCGGUUGAAGAUGACUUCGCGGCCUAUCAGCUUGUUGGUGAGGUAAUGGCUCACCAAGGCGACGACGGGUAGCCGGCCUGAGAGGGCGACCGGCCACACUGGGACUGAGACACGGCCCAGACUCCUACGGGAGGCAGCAGUGGGGAAUAUUGGGCAAUGGAGGAAACUCUGACCCAGCGACGCCGCGUGAGGGAUGAAGGCCUUCGGGUUGUAAACCUCUUUCAGUAGGGAAGAAGCGAAAGUGACGGUACCUACAGAAGAAGCACCGGCUAACUAUGUGCCAGCAGCCGCGGUAAUACAUAGGGUGCAAGCGUUGUCCGGAAUUAUUGGGCGUAAAGAGCUCGUAGGUGGUUCGAUACGUCGGAUGUGAAAAUCAGGGGCUCAACCCCUGACCUGCAUCCGAUACGGUCGAGCUAGAGUUUGGUAGGGGAGACUGGAAUUCCUGGUGUAGCGGUGGAAUGCGCAGAUAUCAGGAGGAACACCGAUGGCGAAGGCAGGUCUCUGGGCCAAUACUGACACUGAGGAGCGAAAGCGUGGGGAGCGAACAGGAUUAGAUACCCUGGUAGUCCACGCCGUAAACGGUGGGCGCUAGUUGUGCGAACCUUCCACGGUUUGUGCGACGCAGCUAACGCAUUAAGCGCCCCGCCUGGGGAGUACGAUCGCAAGAUUAAAACUCAAAGGAAUUGACGGGGCCCCGCACAAGCAGCGGAGCAUGCGGCUU